rnacentral:lncRNA from 1 species
AGAGAGCAGAGAAAGGCAGAGAGAGCGAGAAAUAGAGACAGGCAGACAAACAGACAGACAGACAGAGCGGGAGGGAGGAGGGCGGCGGAGGAGGAGCAGGAGGACUACGCGGGGCGCCUUCCCUCCCAGGUUUGCAAUUGGGGGGGUUGGGGGCGGGGGUGUCCAGGGCUGUGAGAGUGUGUGCGCGGCUGGGGGAGCGAGUGGGGCUCAGAUAGCGAAGGAGUGAUCGUGGUGGGGGGGCGCCGCGGGAGCGGGGGGCCGUGUCCAGCGGAGUUAGCGGCGGAGAAUGUGAGCCGAGGCGCGAGCCAUGCUGUCAGCGACGGCAGGCGGCUCAGGGCUCCUCUACGACUCCUCUUCCCAGCAGCCGGGCGCCCGCGUCGCUGCCGCUGGCGGAAGAUAGACGCCCCCCGAAACCCCUCGCCUGGCUCGGACCCCGGAGCCGGCAGCCCAGCACUCCGCUAUCUAGGUGGUGACACACAGGCCUACUGUGAAGUCUCAGAUGUGUUGUCACAAGUUCGAACUCUGACAUCAUACAUUGAGAGUCAUACCUGAGCAGAGAGGGCCCCGGUUCUGACCCAGCUGAUAGAGGAUCUCCUCAAUGGGUACAAGCUCUCCAAGGAAGGCAAGGCAAGGCCUGGACACAAAGGUGCUGUGGAGGAUUGGAUAGUGGGAAAAGGCUACCUGAGAAGUGGUAAGGGUGUGUGUGUAAACAGACACGAACACGCACGAACACGCACGAA